GUUACCGUUUUCCAUGAUCAUAAUUUCCGGAUUUGCGUAUUUGUCCUUAAUGUACUUCAACAGACUUCUAAAACCUCUCGAGUAAACGUUCAAUGCAGCGGUCAAAGGCU
rnacentral:sRNA from 1 species